GCUGGCCCCACGCGUGGUGUCAUCCUGCUGAACUCCCCCAGGACCGGAAGGUAGCAAGGGUAGGCGGGCUCUGGCAGGUGCGCGUGGGGCUCCUUCU
rnacentral:SRP_RNA from 1 species